UACGGAGGGUGCUAGCGUUGUUCGGAAUUACUGGGCGUAAAGCGCACGUAGGCGGACUGUUAAGUCGGGGGUGAAAUCCCGGGGCUCAACCCCGGAAUGGCCUUCGAUACUGGCGGUCUUGAUGUCUGGAGAGGUGAGUUGAAUUCAGAGUGUAGAGGUGAAAUUCGUAGAUAUUCGGAGGAACACCAGUGGCGAAGGCGGCUCACUGGCCAGAUACUGACGCUGAGGUGCGAAAGCGUGGGGAGCAAACAGG
rnacentral:rRNA from 1 species